GAUGAACGCUGGCGGCGUGCCUAACACAUGCAAGUCGAACGGAGAUUACGGACGGAAGUUUUCGGAUGGAAGACUGUAAUUCUUAGUGGCGGACGGGUGAGUAACGCGUGGGCAACCUGCCCUAUACAGGGGGAUAGCAGCUGGAAACGGCUGGUAAGACCGCAUAAGUCGGCGAGACCGCAUGGUUUUGCCGGGAAAUGAGCAAUCAGGUAUAGGAUGGGCCCGCGUCCGAUUAGCCAGUUGGCAGGGUAAAAGCCUACCAAAGCAACGAUCGGUAGCCGGACUGAGAGGUCGGACGGCCACAUUGGGACUGAGACACAGCCCAAACUCCUACGGGAGGCAGCAGUGGGGGAUAUUGCAAAAUGGAGGAAACUCUGAUGCAGCGACGCCGCGUGAGUGAAGAAGUAUUUCGGUAUGUAAAGCUCUAUCAGCAGGGAAGAUGAUGACGGUACCUGACGAAGAAGCCCCGGCUAACUACGUG
rnacentral:rRNA from 1 species